rnacentral:rRNA from 1 species
GACGAACGCUGGCGGCGUGCUUAACACAUGCAAGUCGAACGGAAAGGCCCUGCUUUUGUGGGGUGCUCGAGUGGCGAACGGGUGAGUAACACGUGAGUAACCUGCCCUUGACUUUGGGAUAACUUCAGGAAACUGGGGCUAAUACCGGAUAGGAGCUCCUGCUGCAUGGUGGGGGUUGGAAAGUUUCGGCGGUUGGGGAUGGACUCGCGGCUUAUCAGCUAGUUGGUGGGGUAGUGGCUUACCAAGGCUUUGACGGGUAGCCGGCCUGAGAGGGUGACCGGCCACAGUGGGACUGAGAGACGGCAGAGGCUCCGAAGGGAGGCAGCAGGGGGGAAGAUUGCACAAGGGGUGGAGGCCUGAUGCAGCAGGGCCGCGUGCGGGAUGGCGGUCUUGGUGGUAAAAACCACUAGCACGUGUAACGAAGCGUGAGUGACGGGUAUGGAAAGAGAAAGACCCGCUAACUACGUU